AGGGUUUAAUUUAUCAGGACUACAAGCCUGUUUUCUGGUCACCAUCGUCCAGGACGGCGCUUGCAGAAGCUGAGCUGGAGUAUAAUCCAGAACAUGUGAGCCGUGCUCUAUACAUCACUUUCCCCCUGCUCACCCUGCCAGCCGAACUCGCUGCGAAAGCAGAAAGUUGGGCUCGUGUGUCUGCUCUGAUAUGGACGACUCAGCCAUGGACUAUUCCAGC